UAACCCUUUGUUGUCCGACUCUGUUGCCUCCGGGGCGACCCUGCCUUCGGGCGGGGGCUCCGGGUGGACACUUCAAACUCUUGCGUAACUUUGCAGUCUGAGUAAACUUAAUUAAUAAAUUAAAACUUUUAACAACGGAUCUCUUGGUUCUGGCAUCGAUGAAGAACGCAGCGAAAUGCGAUAAGUAAUGUGAAUUGCAGAAUUCAGUGAAUCAUCGAAUCUUUGAACGCACAUUGCGCCCCCUGGUAUUCCGGGGGGCAUGCCUGUUCGAGCGUCAUUUCACCACUCAAGCCUCGCUUGGUAUUGGGCAACGCGGUCCGCCGCGUGCCUCAAAUCGACCGGCUGGGUCUUCUGUCCCCUAAGCGUUGUGGAAACUAUUCGCUAAAGGGUGUUCGGGAGGCUACGCCGUAAAACAACCCCAUUUCUAAGGUUGACCUCGGAUCAGGUAGGGAUACCCGCUGAACUUAAGCAUAUCAAUAACCGGAGGAA
rnacentral:rRNA from 1 species